UAGAAAGGCACUGGAAACGCUGCACACCUCUGAGCGUGACCGAGCGGGUUUAUCAGAUUGAGCUUUCUCUCACCGUCUACAAGCACACAAUAAAUCAUGGAUCAGAAGUCCACCUCUCCUCAGAGACAGCCGGUGAAGUGCAGGUCAAAGUCCACAGAGGAAGUCCAGCAAGCUAAAAAGGCCUUUCAUAUACCCCAGAAAUCUCUGCCUGGAGGGUCCGAGCUUGAGAAAGUCAAGG